rnacentral:rRNA from 1 species
AGUGAACGCUGGCGGUAGGCCUAACACAUGCAAGUCGAACGGCAGCACAGUAAGAGCUUGCUCUUACGGGUGGCGAGUGGCGGACGGGUGAGGAAUACAUCGGAAUCUACUUUUUCGUGGGGGAUAACGUAGGGAAACUUACGCUAAUACCGCAUACGACCUACGGGUGAAAGCAGGGGAUCUUCGGACCUUGCGCGAUUGAAUGAGCCGAUGUCGGACUAGCUAGUUGGCGGGGUAAAGGCCCACCAAGGCGACGAUCCGUAGCUGGUCUGAGAGGAUGAUCAGCCACACUGGAACUGAGACACGGCCCAGACUCCUACGGGAGGCAGCAGUGGGGAAUAUUGGACAAUGGGCGCAAGCCUGAUCCAGCCAUACCGCGUGGGUGAAGAAGGCCUUCGGGUUGUAAAGCCCUUUUGUUGGGAAAGAAAGGCAGCAGGUUAAUACCCCGCUGUUCUGACGGUACCCAAAGAAUAAGCACCGGCUAACUUCGUG